rnacentral:rRNA from 1 species
UUUUCAAAAACAUGUCCUUUAGAAUUGAAUUGAAGGUCUGACCUGCCCACUGAUUUAUUAAAUGGCCGCAGUAUUUUAACUGUGCAAAGGUAGCAUAAUCAUUAGUCUUUUAAUUGGAGGCUUGUAUGAAUGGUUGGACAAAAUAUAUAUUGUUUCAUAUAAAUUUAUAGAAUUUUAUUUUUUAGUUAAAAAGCUAAAAUUCAUUUAAAAGACGAGAAGACCCUAUAGAUCUUUAUAAUUAUUAAAUUUUAUUUAUUAAGAAUAUUUUAUAUUUAAUUUAAAAAAUUAUUUUAUUGGGGUGAUAGUAAAAUUUAGUUAACUUUUACAUAAUUAAUUACAUUAGUUUAUGAUUAGUUGAUCCAGUAGUAUUGAUUAGUAAAUUAAGUUACCUUAGGGAUAACAGCGUAAUUUUUUUAGAGAGUUCAUAUCGAUAAAAAAGAUUGCGACCUCGAUGUUGGAUUAAGAUAUACAUUUAGGUGUAGCCGUUUAAAUGUUAAGUCUGUUCGACUUUUUAAUUCUUACAUGAUCUGAGUUCAAACC